rnacentral:rRNA from 1 species
UACGUAGGGGCAGCAGUGUUCGGAUUCGAUUGGUGCGUAAAGGGUGCGUAGGCGGUCGCGUAAGUCAGGUGUGAAAUCCCGGGGCUCAACCCCGGAACUGCACUUGAUACUGCGUGGCUAGGGUACUGGAGAGGAGACUGGAAUUUACGGUGUAGCAGUGAAAUGCGUAGAUAUCGUAAGGAAGACCAGUGGCGAAGGCGAGUCUCUGGACAGUUACCGACGCUGAGGCACGAAGGCCAGGGGAGCAAACGGG